rnacentral:tRNA from 1 species
UCCCUGGUGGCUCAGAGGUUAAAGCGCUUGCCUGCAAUGUGGGAGACCUGGGUUCAAUCCCUGGGUUGGGAA